CGCCGAUCCGUUGGCAUCAGGUAAGGACCGGAUCCGCCGUCGGCGUCGGCGGCAUCCGAACCCGGCGAGUUACGCUUCCGCUGCUUCUUCUCCACGCUAUGCGCCCGUUUAUUUGCCUACUUUUGUUUACUUGCUGCGAGAUUCAGAUUGCAUCUCCCGUAUUUGAUCUGUUCUCGAGAGCAUCCGUGAUGUUACAUCCACUUAACUCAUCCUUGCACUUUGAGUUGCGACAGUGAAGAAAAACAUUGGGGAAUAUGUAGUCUGAGAUGCUCUCAUGUUCUUCCUUUUGCUUAGAUCUGUUUGCCUUUUUCCCCCGUGGAUCUGCGUUGCUUCUAGUCGUGGGUCGAUGAUGUUAUUGUUUACUGCGUUAUCUUUCUCGAACUUCUCAAGUAAUGAGGAAAGCAUUGCCUACUGAGAUCCAAUCACGCUUAAAGAUCUGUUUUGUAGGAUUAAUUCGACAGUUAAUCCGAUUUUUAUUUCUCUUUGGGCAAUAUACUAGUAGUUGUUUACUUUUGUUUAUUUUGUUAUAUUUUUUAUGUUUCUUUUAAUUUUCUGUGCUUCGUCAUCUGGUCAUUGGGAGGAUCAGUCUCUGAUCGGUUUCCACUGGACUCGUUCCCUUGAAGCAACAUUAACCUGUUGUAUCCUGAGCUACAUACUGUUGUGCCCUGGGAUGUUCCUCUCCAAAGGGCACCGUGGCUCUUACAUACAUAUCCUAAUUAUAAUUAUUCUGGCACUCCACUCUGUUUAAUUGAUUGAAUCAUUAAUUAUGGCCCUAGACCCAUCAAAGCAAGCAAGCAUCUAGUUCAAUCUUUGUGACCCAACCUGUUGGCAUACAAAAUCGUUGAUAUUCAGUUCUUGCUCUUUGUGAUAAUGUUUUUUUAGCAAUUUGACUAUCAAAUUGCCUGAGUAAACAAGAACUUUGCUAUUGACUGCUGCUCUUAGGUUUCAUGUUUUUUUUUAGUUUCUGAUUUGAGUUAUUAAGAUGGAAGCGAGGAUCCUUUCCCCAGCUGAUCGACUAUGAUUAUACUGUGCUCAAAUGUAAUCCUUUAUCAGAGGAUUCCAAGCCAGAAAUCUGAUCCAUCCACUUGAAAAAUAUCGCAUGUUUUCGUUAGGGUCCUUUGUCUAGUAUAUUCAUUGGUACAUUUCAGUUGGAAAGUUCAGUGUCAUACUAGUUUGACUAAUAUUGUGGUAUGCAUGUGAUGAGAAACCAUAUGCAACUCACGACGGUCGUCUGAGACACUUUGUGUGUAAUGGUGCAUUCAUAUGUUCUCUGAUGCCUUGUCUAUUUCUUCAGUUUGUGUGUGAUUUGGGUUCUCCCCUGGCUUCUAUUUGUAGGAAGUGCCACAUCUUUGUUCUCGUUUGUCUUCACUGGCAUUUAUUUGCCUUGCCAACCAUCCUCCUAUAUCACCAGGACGCCACCAUAUUCCGAGUUCUCUUUUUAUAUAUUAUCAGUUGAAAUUCGUUUAGACUGAAAUAAUCUUGUAGAGUACAAGAGGAACAUAGUUAACAGAUCUUUGUUGUAGUUAUGAGGAUGAUGAUUUCAAAUUUGUCGCCCCAGUCUUAGGGUCCACUUAGGUGGAUCUGUGCUGAUGGACAUAUUACUAAAUCUGACUCGGCAAAUCUAAGUUUGAACAGUUAGUUUUUUCUUUUACUUAAUUUCCUCAUGAUGGCAGUGACGAUAUGCAAAUAUUCAAGCUCAACAGACCAAAUCACAGGUUUUCUCUCAGGAGUUGAUUUGUAUGCCGAUUAACCCGCUGAACCGAGCCAUCUGUAUCCUUUAUGUUCAAUGUGCUGUUCAUUGUUUGUUUCCUUUGGAGAGUGUAGUUGCCAUGAGGAUAAAAAGCUCCCUCUUCUGAAAGCAUUGACGACAUUGCUGGCAGAAUCGAACCAAUUAAACAUUGCCACCACUGAGCAACUACAUCUUCACUGGCCAUUAAUUUUGCCUUUCAAUUAAGACAUUCUUUUUGCAUUGUGAGGAGGUAUUGAUGCAUAAUCCAACACUUGAUCCAAGGGGUGACAUGAGCUGCCUGUGUGAUGUCAACUUUGCAAGUGAAUCCGGAGAUCAGUUUUUUAUUAUUUAUUGUCUUCUUGAUUUUUCAGUGUCGAAACCCUAAUCAAUCUUAGGGCACCUUCUGACACAGUGCCUAUUUUGAUGAUACGCUAUGUUUUCUUACCAUCUUAGUUUGGUGGUAUUGGCUGGUGAGCUGUGUUUUCUUUUACACUAGUGACGUAUAAUUUAAUUAAAGCCCAUGAUGAUUAGCUUUAUGUUGGAAUUACCGUCUGAUCCGAAUGAUGAUAUUUUUGCGGCUUUCUGAGGCAUAAACCAAGAGCUUAAGAUAUUAUUUAUUUAAUAAUAUUGUUAAUUUUGUUCAACUUAAAUUAUCCCAGUGAAAAUUCUUAGACCAGGAAUGCCGUAUGACACUGUAAACAACAGCUGUAACUCACCACUGCACAUGUCUUCCUUUGGCUAUAACCUUUGUGGUUUGGUCAGGGCUGGAUGUCCAUUUGUACCUGGUUUGGUUCAUCUGUGUGCUUGAUUUUAAAUCGGUCUCAUAUUGUUUCAUAUUGUUUGCUCUGUUUUUUGUGUGUUGAUAGCAACCUGAGUCUGUAUUUUGGUUGGUAUACACUCUCCAGAGCUGGUUAUUGUGGUUGAUAUAUUUUUGUAGUGGCUGGUUGGUAUACACUCACCAGAGCUGGUUAUUGUGGUUGAUAUAGUUUUGUAACAAGUUCUAGUCAAUAUGAUUUGAUCAGUUUUGGGGAUAUGGUGAUGAUGAUAAAUUUAAGGCUUGUUUCUCAAAACAUUCGCAGAUGCCGCCUAAGAGCUUUCGCCCAGCCAGGCUUGAGAGCUAAUGCUGCUAAUUCCUUCCUUGGAUGUCUGAGCCUUAUUAAUAUCCUCAUACUUUGUUAUCUUUAAUUUGAUGUUCUCAUCUUGUUAUAGGGGGAGCACUGUUUCAAUGUUUGGCUGCUGUUCUUUCAUCCGAGUUUACAUCGCUCUUGAGAUGUAUUCAGGUGGCGCUUGGAGCACAAAUCCGUCCAGAUGGAUCUUGGGUUACGCUCGCCCCCAAAUUCAAGUUUAAUCUCUGUUUCUGUUUUUGUUGCAUUAUGUUCUGUAAUUAUAGCUUUUGUGGGACUGCUGAUUGGUGAAUUGAGCCUUUUUCGGUGCAGUGAUUAUAAAACAUUCACUGACGGGAAAUCCCUGAGAACGACAAUACACCCAUAGAAUCUGCGUUUGGAGAUUGAACUAUAUUUCUGGUUUCAUUUUUGAUGGAAACUUGCUUUUUCAUUUACAGUUAAAACUCAGCUUAGAUGCCUACCACAUUUCAGGUAGAAACUCUGUAGCACCGUUCAGUUUUGUGGACUGUAUCACGACCUGAGACAGUACAACUGGAGGAUCAUUACAAACUCACUGCUAGAGUACUUAUCCGUGAGUGACAUUGCUCUGUUUUGAAGCAUUCAUUGUGAAAUAGAGAUGAUGUAAUGAUAUUGUUGCAAUUUCUGGUUUAGUGAUUCGUUAUCUAUGAUGAUAAUAAAUUUCAGUACUUAAGUUCUUAUUUCACAAUCAAUGUAAGAGCUGGUAUUGACUUCGAAGUACUAUCUCAGAUUUUUAUGCAGACAAAUAUAGAAUGUACAUCACCGUUCACCAUAACUGAGAUUGUAUAUGAAUAUUCUCAAUUCAAGAGCUGAUCAUUUAUGCUUGUCAAA
rnacentral:rRNA from 1 species